rnacentral:rRNA from 1 species
UACGUAGGGUGCGAGCGUUGUCCGGAAUUAUUGGGCGUAAAGAGCUUGUAGGCGGUCUGUCGCGUCUGCUGUGAAAAUCCGGGGCUCAACCCCGGACUUGCAGUGGGUACGGGCAGACUAGAGUGUGGUAGGGGAGAGUGGAAUUCCUGGUGUAGCGGUGAAAUGCGCAGAUAUCAGGAGGAACACCGGUGGCGAAGGCAGGGCUCUGGGCCACUACUGACGCUGAGAAGCGAAAGCAUGGGGAGCGAACAGG